UCGCCUCCUGAGCUUGUACAACAGUCGUGGGAGUUGCUGCAGAAGCAAGCGAAAAGCCAGAUGAGCGCUUCUAAACUUAGA
rnacentral:misc_RNA from 1 species